rnacentral:rRNA from 1 species
UACGUAGGGUGCGAGCGUUGCCCGGAUUUAUUGGGCGUAAAGGGCGCGUAGGCGGCUCUGCACGUCCGUUGUGAAAUCGCCCGGCUCAACUGGGCGGGGUCAGCGGAUACGGCGGAGCUUGAGCAAGCUAGGGGGUAAUGGAAUUCCCGGUGUAGUGGUGGAAUGCGUAGAUAUCGGGAGGAACACCAGUGGCGAAGGCGGUUACCUGGAGCUUUGCUGACGCUGAUGCGCGAAAGCGUGGGGAGCGAUCCGG